AUGGCUGUAGCAUGGAUAGAAGCUGAUGUAAAGUGGUUGAGUUUCUAUGUGUACCGGAUAGUGCUGCUUCUCAGCUUCCUUAUGUAUGUUAUUCUCGCCUCCUUCUCCGAGAGCCGCAGGCGUGAAGGCAAAGGUUGGAAGAGAGUGUUAUUGUGGUUGGCGUACCAGCUGACUGAGUGGUGCCCGGCAUAUGUCAUCAGCAAUCUGUACCUCGAAACCUCGCCGUGCGAGAAGAUGAUCGUCGCCUUCUGGGUGCCAUUCCUUCUGCUGCACAACGCUCGCCCAGACAACAUCAGCGCCUUCAUCAGCGAGGACAGUGAGCUCUGGCUGCGCGCGGGUGUAUUUGUUUUCUUGCAGUCCGUGGGAUCCGCAUUUAUUGUGUGCAGAUAUAUACUCCUUGAGUCCACUGCUGGGUUGUUGCGCCAGGCGUCUUUCAUCAUGUUAUUGCUGGGCCUUUACAAGUAUGCGGAGAGUGCGGUGGCGCUAAGGCAAUGCAACUUGAGCCGCAUCCGGAGGUCAUUCAGGAAGCUGCAGCCCAAUGCCAAUAGCUUCAGGGAUGACUAUGGUGGAGGCAAGAAUCUGGAGGGUCUGAAAGACGAGGAAGCCUUGUUGGUUGCUCACAGCCUGUUCGAUAUCUGCAAGGGUGCCUUUUCUGAUUACUCGGUGGAGUACAUGGACCGUGAUGCAGUCAGAAGCAUGUUCUCGGGUCAAUGGGAGAGUAUGUGCAAGGUGGUGGAGAUGGAACUCUCCCUUAUGUAUGACAUCCUAUACACCAAGGCAGUUGUGGCCCACACCUGGCAUGGCUACGCCAUCCGUCUGGCCUCGCCAUUCCUCACCGCCACUGCGCUCCUGCUGUUUUUCCUCCAGUGCAAAGAGUGCAUGAAGCUUGAGCCAAUAGAUAAAGCUGUGAGUUACAUAUUGCUGGUUACGACCCUCCUCCACGAUGUGAGAUCGCUGUUGAGAGCACUAGCGUCAGGCUGGACACAUUCAUACUUCAAACAUAUGUCACACAACUGGUUCAAGCAUCAAUUUUGGUGCCUGGAGAGAUGGGCGAAGCUUCGUCGGUUUGUCGUGUCACUGCGUCUUUCCCGGCUCUCCUUGUGGUUGUGGACAUGUGCAUGUCCCAGAGAGCCCAAAAGCUACAGGAGGUGGGCGGGCACCUUCGGGCAGUGCAACAUGUUUGACCAGUGCACUGUUGGAAACAGGCGCAACCUAUACAGCAUACCUGGGCUGACGACUGAAUCAAAAGGCCAGUUGAAUUCGAGAGGCUAUGAAUGGGAAGACCAUUCGAGGGGCCUUGAGAUUCCAGACAAUGUCAAGAAGCUGGUGUUCAUCAACAUGUGCAAGCACUUAUUCCCUGGUCCCGAGCUGCCCCAUGAACAGUUUGUUCGUGUAAAUGUGCCACCAUGUCAAUGCCACCGCCCUGACAGGCAAGCUGUUGCAGAGUACUCUCCCAGAUCCUACGAGCAACAAACUCAUCACUUGAGGUAUUGUCAAGCCCCGCCUGAACACUAUGACGAGAAAGCUGCUGACAUCAAGCAUGCAGAUCAGUCAGAUGAAGAUAGGAGGUUCCAUCUUGAGCUUCAAGAGGUCAUCCUCAUCUGGCACAUCGCCACCGAUGUCUUCCUCGCACGCAGACCCAGUAUCGGAGGCGGAAAGUCCGAGGAACUCGUGAAGGCGAUGGAGCAGAUGUCAGAUUACAUGAUGUUCCUCGUCGCCAAACGCCCUCAAAUGCUACCAGGGCGUACGCUCGGCGGGCUGCACGAGAAAACACGCCGUGCUGUGGAGUUGAUAUGGAAAGUGGCUAUACCAACUAGUCAUGCAACAAAAGAAAAGGAGAUGGUUGCCAAGUGGAUGCUGAAUAACAUGGAUGGUCUUAAUGACCCAAAUUCACCUAUCUGGGGAGGAACUCAAAAGAUGGACAAGGAUAAUCUUAAUGACCCGGGUUUGAAUAUGACUACUGUCUGGAGAGGAGCUCAACUUGGCCAGAUGCUGCUAAACCCACCGUCCAGGGGUGGAGAAAGCAAAGGUACGAUGGAACUACUUGCAUACUGGAUUCCAGAUUUGCAGAAACCUCAUGGGGAUAUGUUGGAGUUUGUCUUGGAUGCGUGGGUGCGUCUGCUCAUGUUUGCGUCCAUGCGGUGCAGCAGGGAUUCUCACGCCAAGCAGCUCAGCUGCGGCGGCGAGCUCGCGACCCUGGUAUGGAUCAUCAUGGAACACACAAAGAACAGCGACGUCAAAAAGCAUCUCAAGUCACUUCUUCGUUAA
rnacentral:rRNA from 1 species